ensembl:lincRNA
UGUCUGUAGGUCCCCAGCCUCAACCUGAUUGCUCAGCCAGCCACUUCUUCCCCUCCAGAUCUCCCAUCCACCUCCAGGUAUCACACUGACAGACCUGACUUAAAAAAAAAAAAAAAAAAAGAAAUAAAGAAAGAAAGGAAGAAAGGGAAGAAGGUUUUUGGGCUUGGCAACAGAUUUCUCUAAAAUACCUAGAAAACUUCACUUACAUCUUACCUCCACUUACAUUACCGUGAGAAUUACAUGGCAUACCUCACCUUUAUUGCAAGAGAGUUUGGAAUGCUUAAAGAUGGUCAAAAUGGACUUAAAAAAAGAAAAUCAGAGAAAGAAAUAACUUCCAAUUGCCUGUUUGCAUGUAUUAGUAUGGAGAUUUGUCUUUUAACAUUUAGAGAAAAAAUUACAUGGAAAAAAAUGAGGUUACCUACAGAAAUGAUGUCGAACUUGAGAUGAUUUCACGGACUCAAGGACACCUUCAUUGGUCUUCCCAAAUUUGGAGUGCACUCUUAACCCUUUCUUUGACCACUUUCUCACACCUAAAGCUGUUUAAUAGGAGCAGCACUUUCAACUAUCAGAGGUGAGACUUAAAAUACAAACGCAACUGGGAGAAGUCUAUUAACUUACAGCCAUUCUACCCUACAAAAGAUAUUUCCCUUUCUUAGGUGAACAUCCUGAUGGAGGGCAACAAAAGUCAGGGGUGUGGGUUCUCCAAAAGGGGCAUGACAUGUAUGUUUUUACACUUUUUCUUUGACUCAACUAUUCUUGCUGUCUUGAACCCCCACUGUAGUCUACCACAAGAAAAGAGACCAAGGUCACUUUUUGUUUAAGGCUUAUAUUGUAACACAGGUAACAAAACAAACAAAUAAGUUUUAAAAGUGUGGCUUUUUCCAGAUAGUUUAGGUUAGACUCUCAAGAGAGACUCUCACUGGCUGGUUUGUGUCAUGUCCCAAUACUGAGCUCAUUAGAGUGGCCAGG